AUUGAACGCUGGCGGAAUGCUUUACACAUGCAAGUCGAACGAUGAGACCUAGCUUGCUAGGUUGAUUAGUGGCGAACGGGUGAGUAAUGUAUCGGAACGUAUCCAAUAAUGGGGGAUAACUAAUCGAAAGGUUGGCUAAUACCGCAUACGCCCUACGGGGGAAAGCAGGGGAUCUUCGGACCUUGCGUUAAUGGAGCGGCCGAUAUCUGAUUAGCUAGUUGGUGAGGUAAAAGCUCACCAAGGCGACGAUCAGUAGCUGGUCUGAGAGGACGACCAGCCAAACUGGAACUGAGACACGGUCCAGACUCCUACGGGAGGCAGCAGUGGGGAAUUUUGGACAAUGGGCGAAAGCCUGAUCCAGCCAUUCCGCGUGAGUGAAGAAGGCCUUCGGGUUGUAAAGCUCUUUCGCAAGGGAAGAAACGAUGCAGUCGAAUAAACUGUGUUAAUGACGGUACCUUGAUAAGAAGCACCGGCUAACUACGUGCCAGCCGCCGCGGUAA
rnacentral:rRNA from 1 species